UGUUCCUACGGGGGGCAGCAGUGGGGAAUAUUGCACAAUGGGGGGAACCCUGAUGCAGCGACGCCGCGUGGGUGAAGGAGCACCUCGGUGCGUAAAGCCCUAUCGGCAGGGAAGAAAAGCGAACAGGUUCGCCUGGACGGUACCUGACUAAGAAGCCCCGGCUAACUACGUGCCAGCAGCCGCGGUAAUACGUAGGGGGCAAGCGUUAUCCGGAUUUACUGGGUGUAAAGGGAGCGUAGGCGGCAGUGCAAGUCAGAAGUGAAAGCCCAAGGCUCAACCAUGGGACUGCUUUUGAAAC
rnacentral:rRNA from 1 species